CGGUAAUACGGAGGGUGCAAGCGUUAAUCGGAAUUACUGGGCGUAAAGCGUGCGUAGGCGGUUUAUUAAGUCAGAUGUGAAAGCCCCGGGCUUAACCUGGGAACUGCAUUUGAAACUGGUCAACUAGAGUAUGGUAGAGGAAAGUGGAAUUUCUGGUGUAGCGGUGAAAUGCGUAGAUAUCAGAAGGAACAUCAAUGGCGAAGGCAGCUUUCUGGACCAAUACAGACGCUGAGGUACGAAAGCGUGGGUAGCAAACAGGAUUAGAUACCCUGGUAGUCCACGCCGUAAACGAUGAUAACUAGCCGUUGGGGGGAUUUACCCUUUAGUGGCGAAGCUAACGCGUUAAGUUAUCCGCCUGGGGAGUACGGCCGCAAGGCUAAAACUCAAAGGAAUUGACGGGGACCCGCACAAGCGGUGGAGCAUGUGGUUUAAUUCGAUGCAACGCGAAGAACCUUACCUGGUCUUGACAUCCUGCGAACUUUCUAGAAAUAGAUUGGUGCCUUCGGGAACGCAGUGACAGGUGCUGCAUGGCUGUCGUCAGCUCGUGUCGUGAGAUGUUGGGUUAAGUCCCGUAACGAGCGCAACCCCUAUCCUUAUUUGCCAGCACGUCAUGGUGGGAACUAUAAGGAGACUGCCGGUGAUAAACCGGAGGAAGGCGGGGACGACGUCAAGUCAUCAUGGCCCUUACGACCAGGGCUACACACGUGCUACAAUGGGAAGGACAAAGAGCCGCGAAGCCGCGAGGUGUAGCUAAUCUCAGAAACCUUUUCGUAGUCCGGAUUGGAGUCUGCAACUCGACUCCAUGAAGUCGGAAUCGCUAGUAAUCGUAGAUCAGAAUGCUACGGUGAAUACGUUCCCGGG
rnacentral:rRNA from 1 species